UGGGGAAUAUUGGACAACGGGCGAAAGCCUGAUCCAGCCAUGCCGCGUGUGUGAAGAAGGCCCUCGGAUUGUAAAGCACCUUAAGUUGGGAGGAAGGGCAGUAAGCGAAUACCUUGCUGUUUUGACGUUACCGACAGAAUAAGCACCGGCUAACUCUGUGCCAGCAGCCGCGGUAAUACAGAGGGUGCAAGCGUUAAUCGGAAUUACUGGGCGUAAAGCGCGCGUAGGUGGUUCGUUAAGUUGAAUGUGAAAGCCCCGGGCUCAACCUGGGAACUGCAUCCAAAACUGGCGAGCUGGAGUAGGGCAGAGGGUGGUGGAAUUUCCUGUGUAGCGGUGAAAUGCGUAGAUAUAGGAAAGAACACCAGUGGCAAAGGCGACCACCUGGGCUCAUACUGACACUGAGGUGCGAAAGCGUGGGGAGCAAACAGG
rnacentral:rRNA from 1 species